ACACCGGCAGCCCAAGUGGUGGCCAUUUUUAUUGGGCCUAAAGCGUCCGUAGCCGGUCUGAUAAGUCUCUGGUGAAAUCCCACAGCUUAACUGUGGGAAUUGCUGGAGAUACUAUCAUGACUCGAGGUCGGGAGAGGCUGGAGGUACUCCCAGGGUGGGGGUGAAAUCCUGUAAUCCUGGGAGGACCACCUGUGGCGAAGGCGUCCAGCUGGAACGAACCUGACGGUGAGGGACGAAAGCCAGGGGCGCGAACCGGAUUAGAUACCCGGGUAGUCCUGGCCGUAAACGAUGUGGACUUGGUGUUGGGAUGGCUUCGAGCUGCCCCAGUGCCGAAGGGAAGCUGUUAAGUCCACCGCCUGGGAAGUACGGCCGCAAGGCUGAAACUCAAAUGAAUUGGCGGGG
rnacentral:rRNA from 1 species